GUCUAUGGUCAUGUCACCCUGAACGUUCUCCAUCUGUCUGAUCUUGGAAGCUAGGCAGGGUCGGGCCUGGUUAGUACUUGGAUGGGAGAAAAGUGGGGCAGGGGCU
ensembl:rRNA 5S_rRNA 5S ribosomal RNA